AUUGUGGCAAAAUACACACACUAUAAUUAGCCAUCCAAUUCUAUGCAUUUAGCACAUUCACGAUGUUCUGCAACCAUCACCACUGUCUAAUUCCAGGAUAUUUUCAUCACUCCUAAAGGACUCUCUGUACCCUCUGGCCUGUUGAUCCUUAUUCCCCCAUCUCCCAGCACUUGGCAGUGGUUCAUCUGCUUUCUGUCUCCACGGAUUUGCCCAUUCUGGCAAUCUCAAAUAACUGGAAUCAUAUGUAUGUAUCCUUUUGUGUCUGGCUUUUUCCACUCAGUGUAUUUUUUCAAGAUUCCUCCAUUCCUCCGUGAUGUACCAUGCGUCAUUUUUGUUUUUUACUGCCUGCAUACUAUUCUAUAUGGAUAUACCAAUUUGUCCAUUCAUUGGUCCUUGGGCAUUUGGGGUGUUUCUACUUUGGGAUAUUAUUUUAACUGUUCAUUUUGCUUGCUUUUAUAGAAAAUAUAGAUGCCACAUGGUAUGUUUCUUCUGCAAAUGCAAAUUAA